UUGGAGAAAGAACUGAUUGUCAAAGAGGAAAUCAUUUCUCGUGAAGUUUAUCUCCAGCAAGCGAAGAAGUUCGUCGUCAGGGCGCGUGACGUCAGGACGCAGGUUAAAAGCAUCACGCACGGCGCGCAUGCCCCCAGCAAUGUCUAUAUUAGUGUACAGACUGCCAACGUCCAUAGUGAAUAAGAAAGCGUGCGCAGGGAUCCGAAGAGCACGGACCUUGGUGACGAAAUCAUAAGUGUCUUUUACGUAGCUCGCGUGUGAGAUAGAAAGAGGGUAAAGAUAGUGAUCCAGGUACUCAGCCGUAUGCCGAAAGCCAGGACCAGUUUGCGGACCUUGGGGUUGAUGGUGGUCUUGGCCAUCACCGCGGAGGCAUGACGGAACGACGCACCAGGAUAACCAUCGAUCUGGAGACCAGGUCACCAGCAGGUGGAGCCCGGAGGAUCGUGGUGUCUGCACCAAGCGGAGCCGCCAGCAGGGGCUGCUAAGUCACCUUAAACCGGGUGGUGUUAAAGGGGU